AUGCGCCGGGCCGGCAUCCCGCACUCCAACCUCUGCGCCACCUGCAGCCGCUACAUGCACGUCUUCCGCCACCGCUGCCUCGUCUGCGGCCGCGCCUACUGCCGCCGCUGCGUGGGCGCUGGCAUGGGCGACAUGACCGAGGGCCGCAAGUGCCUCGGUUGCCUCGGCCGCAAGUACAGCCACCGCUACAUCCACCGCGCCGGCCGGGGCGCCACUGCCGCCGCGGGCCUCCUCUGCCUCUGCUGCUGCGCGCUCCACGCCUGGGGCUCCUCCUCCUCCGUCAGGGCGGAGGAGCUGCUCUGGGCUGAGAAGGGCCCCGCACCGCGCCGCCGGCCCUCGUCUUCCUCCACCACUUCCAUCUCCGCGUCCUACAGCACGGCCGCGGGUGGCGGCGGGGGAUACUCGGCGUCCAUGAGCAUGACCAUGAUGAGCAUCAACAGCGGCGCCAGCAACAGCAACGGGCACGGUCACAGGAACAGCAACGUCGUCGUCGUGGCGCCGCCGCCUGCAUCCUUCUCCCGCGGCAGCGCCAACCCGCACGCCUUCCCUCUCUAA
rnacentral:rRNA from 1 species